rnacentral:rRNA from 1 species
AUGACAGCUCCGAUUUUGCUGACGAGUUUCACAGGAGAAAGUUGCAAGCCACGCAUCGACCUAGUCCAACGCAACAUCCGGAGAGCACCGUCCACUGAAAACCGCCCUCAUGGAGUCAUCAUUGCCGCAGUGGCCCUGCCGCCCGCAGCUCCGGCUUCUCUGUCACAGCCAGAAAUCAGCAUAGGCACACCCAUUGGCGCACCGGACCUUCAACAUCAGAAGGACAAGCCGCGACCCGGCUCUGCUCGCCACCAUCGUCGUUGCCACACACAUCACAACGCCACACCCACCUCGCAUCACCGGUUGGCCACCUGCCAACGUGAUGCCGUGUAUGUCCAGCCCAAGGGAAGCGCGGAGAAGGAUCAUCGGUCUUCAAAGCAACGCCCCAAAGGGGGAAACGCCGCGGGGGCGACGUCGUUGCCCAACCCAGAUGGGUCUAGGCUUUUGCCCGAAGAACAAGAUCCGAGAAUGAAGCGUGUCGAAGAAACACCACGGCGGCGCCAUCAAGAAGGGAAACGACACCCGUAG